rnacentral:rRNA from 1 species
AGGGUUUGAUCCUGGCUCAGAUUGAACGCUGGCGGCAGGCCUAACACAUGCAAGUCGAGCGGUAACAGAGAUAGCUUGCUAUUUGCUGACGAGCGGCGGACGGGUGCGUAACACGUAGGAAUCUGCCCGGUAGAGGGGGAUAGCCCGAAGAAAUUCGGAUUAAUACCGCAUACGCCCUAAUGGGGAAAGCAGGGGAUCUUCGGACCUUGCGCUAUCGGAUGAGCCUGCGUCGGAUUAGCUUGUUGGUGAGGUAAAGGCUCACCAAGGCGACGAUCCGUAGCUGGUCUGAGAGGAUGAUCAGCCACACUGGGACUGAGACACGGCCCAGACUCCUACGGGAGGCAGCAGUGGGGAAUAUUGCACAAUGGGCGCAAGCCUGAUGCAGCCAUGCCGCGUGUGUGAAGAAGGCUCUAGGGUUGUAAAGCACUUUCAGCGAGGAGGAAAGGUAUAAGGUUAAUACCCUUGUGCUGUGACGUUACUCGCAGAAGAAGCACCGGCUAACUCCGUGCCAGCAGCCGCGGUAAUACGGAGGGUGCGAGCGUUAAUCGGAAUUACUGGGCGUAAAGCGUGCGUAGGCGGCUAUUUAAGUGGGAUGUGAAAUCCCCGGGCUUAACCUGGGAACUGCAUCCCAAACUGGGUAGCUAGAGUACGGCAGAGGAGUGUGGAAUUUCCUGUGUAGCGGUGAAAUGCGUAGAUAUAGGAAGGAACACCAGUGGCGAAGGCGACACUCUGGGCUGAUACUGACGCUGAGGUACGAAAGCGUGGGGAGCAAACAGGAUUANAUACCCUGGUA